UAGGGAAUCUUCGGCAAUGGACGAAAGUCUGACCGAGCCACGCCGCGUGAGUGAAGAAGGUUUUCGGAUCGUAAAACUCUGUUGUUAGAGAAGAACAAUGACGUUAGUAACUGAACGUCCCCUGCCGGUAUCUAACCAGAAAGCCACGGCUAACUACGUGCCAGCAGCCGCGGUAAUACGUAGGUGGCAAGCGUUGUCCGGAUUUAUUGGGCGUAAAGCGAGCGCAGGCGGUUUCUUAAGUCUGAUGUGAAAGCCCCCGGCUCAACCGGGGAGGGUCAUUGGAAACUGGGAGACUUGAGUGCAGAAGAGGAGAGUGGAAUUCCAGGUGUAGCGGUGAAAUGCGUAGAUAUAGGGAGGAACACCAGUGGCGAAGGCGGCUCUCUGGUCUGUAACUGACGCUGAGGCUCGAAAGCGUGGGGAGCAAACAGG
rnacentral:rRNA from 1 species